rnacentral:lncRNA from 1 species
CAUGUCUAAAUAUCCAAAGUUAAGUCUAAAAAUCCAAAUAAACCAUGUUUAAAACAAGGAAAAUACUAUCCUAUUCUGAUUUUAUCAAAUGCUUAUUUGAUUUUUACUGAUAAACUUUUUAGAGAGAUGCUUCAUUCACAUUUUAGAGGUCUAAGAGCAGAGACAAAGGUUUAAUAAGGUUUCCCAGCUGAUAGACAAGUUAUUUUUAAUUGUAGCAUGGUGUCUACAGUAACAAAUUUGUCUUACAAACAAAAUGGUCUUGUAACUUUUUACUCAGCUUUUUUAUUUAAUGGCUUGAUACGCUAUUUAAGAUUUCAUGUUAAUAUUUCCAUCAAAGCAAAACAAGAAACAGAAUAAUGAUUGUACUGUGAUGGCCUAACAUUGUUAGCAUAUUUUUAUACUAUUAGGACCUUUACUCAACUGUUUGAAGUUAAGCACACAUAUACCCGAAAGGUGAAAUUCUUUACUCUUCUUUUGCCCUGUAAGCAUUCACUCUGGAAACUGAGGAAAUUGUUUG